GAUGAAGAACGCAGCGAAAUGCGAUAAGUAAUGUGAAUUGCAGAAUUCAGUGAAUCAUCGAGUCUUUGAACGCACAUUGCGCCCCCUGGUAUUCCGGGGGGCAUGCCUGUCCGUGCGUCAUUGCUGCCCUCAAGCACGGCUUGUGUGUUGGGCCCCCGUCCCCGGUUUCCCCCGGGGACGGGCCCGAAAGGCAGCGGCGGCACCGCGUCCGGUCCUCGAGCGUAUGGGGCUUUGUCACCCGCUCUGUAGGCCCGGCCGGCGCCAGCCGACACCCAACUUUAUUUCUAAGGUUGACCUCGGAUCAGGUAGGGAUACCCGCUGAACUUAAGCAUAUCAAUAAGCGGAGGA
rnacentral:misc_RNA from 1 species